UACGUAGGGGGGCAAGCGUUGUCCGGAAUCAUUGGGCGUAAAGAGCGCGUAGGCGGCCCUGUAAGUCCGCUGUGAAAGUCAAGGGCUCAACCCUUGAAUGCCGGUGGAUACUGCAGGGCUAGAGUCCGGAAGAGGCGAGUGGAAUUCCUGGUGUAGAGGUGAAAUUCGUAGAUAUUAGGAAGAACACCAGUGGCGAAGGCGGCUCACUGGCCCGGUACUGACGCUGAGGCGCGAAAGCGUGGGGAGCAAACAGG
rnacentral:rRNA from 1 species